GACGAACGCUGGCGGCGUGCUUAACACAUGCAAGUCGAACGAAGAGCGAUGGAAGCUUGCUUCUAUCAAUCUUAGUGGCGAACGGGUGAGUAACGCGUAAUCAACCUGCCCUUCAGAGGGGGACAACAGUUGGAAACGACUGCUAAUACCGCAUACGAUCUAAUCUCGGCAUCGAGGAUAGAUGAAAGGUGGCCUCUACAUGUAAGCUAUCACUGAAGGAGGGGAUUGCGUCUGAUUAGCUAGUUGGAGGGGUAACGGCCCACCAAGGCGAUGAUCAGUAGCCGGUCGGAGAGGAUGAACGGCCACAUUGGGACUGAGACACGGCCCAGACUCCUACGGGAGGCAGCAGUGGGGAAUCUUCCGCAAUGGACGAAAGUCUGACGGAGCAACGCCGCGUGAGGGAUGACGGCCUUCGGGUUGUAAAGCUCUGUUAAUCGGGACGAAAGGCCUUCUUGCGAAUAGUGAGAAGGAUUGACGGUACCGGAAUAGAAAGCCACGGCUAACUACGUG
rnacentral:rRNA from 1 species